UACGUAGGGUGCAAGCGUUGUCCGGAAUUAUUGGGCGUAAAGAGCUCGUAGGUGGCCUGUCGCGUCGACUGUGAAAUCCCGCGGCUCAACUGCGGGUCUGCAGUCGAUACGGGCAGGCUAGAGUUCGGUAGGGGAGACUGGAAUUCCUGGUGUAGCGGUGAAAUGCGCAGAUAUCAGGAGGAACACCGGUGCGAAGGCGGGUCUCUGGGCCGAUACUGACGCUGAGGAGCGAAAGCGUGGGAGCAACAGG
rnacentral:rRNA from 1 species